rnacentral:rRNA from 1 species
UACGUAGGGGGCAAGCGUUGUCCGGAAUCAUUGGGCGUAAAGCGCGCGUAGGCGGCCCGGUAAGUCCGCUGUAAAAGUCCAGGGCUCAACCCUGGAAAGCCGGUGGAUACUGUCGGGCUAGAGUCCGGAAGAGGCGAGUGGAAUUCCGAGUGUAGCGGUGAAAUGCGUAGAGACUCGGAAGAACACCAGUGGCGAAGGCGGCUACCUGGACGGGUACUGACGCUGCAGCGCGAAAGCUAGGGGAGCAAACAGG